rnacentral:rRNA from 1 species
UGGGGAAUUUUGGACAAUGGGCGCAAGCCUGAUCCAGCCAUGCCGCGUGUCUGAAGAAGGCCUUCGGGUUGUAAAGGACUUUUGUCAGGGAAGAAAAGGAUAGGGUUAAUACCCCUGUCUGAUGACGGUACCUGAAGAAUAAGCACCGGCUAACUACGUGCCAGCAGCCGCGGUAAUACGUAGGGUGCGAGCGUUAAUCGGAAUUACUGGGCGUAAAGCGGGCGCAGACGGUUACUUAAGCAGGAUGUGAAAUCCCCGGGCUCAACCUGGGAACUGCGUUCUGAACUGGGUGACUAGAGUGUGUCAGAGGGAGGUAGAAUUCCACGUGUAGCAGUGAAAUGCGUAGAGAUGUGGAGGAAUACCGAUGGCGAAGGCAGCCUCCUGGGAUAACACUGACGUUCAUGCCCGAAAGCGUGGGUAGCAAACAGGAUUAGAUACCCUGGUAGUCCACGCCCUAAACGAUGUCGAUUAGCUGUUGGGCAGCUUGACUGCUUAGUAGCGAAGCUAACGCGUGAAAUCGACCGCCUGGGGAGUACGGUCGCAAGAUU